rnacentral:rRNA from 1 species
AGUCGAACGGACUUACAUUGAAGCCUAGCGAUAUGUAAGUUAGUGGCGGACGGGUGAGUAACGCGUGGGUAACCUGCCUUGUACUGGGGGACAACAGUUGGAAACGACUGCUAAUACCGCAUAAGCGCACAGCUUCGCAUGAAGCAGUGUGAAAAACUCCGGUGGUACAAGAUGGACCCGCGUCUGAUUAGCUGGUUGGUGAGGUAACGGCCCACCAAGGCGACGAUCAGUAGCCGGCCUGAGAGGGUGAACGGCCACAUUGGGACUGAGACACGGCCCAAACUCCUACGGGAGGCAGCAGUGGGGAAUAUUGCACAAUGGGGGAAACCCUGAUGCAGCAACGCCGCGUGAGUGAAGAAGUAUUUCGGUAUGUAAAGCUCUAUCAGCAGGAAAGAAAAUGACGGUACCUGACUAAGAAGCCCCGGCUAACUACGUGCCAGCAGCCGCGGUAAUACGUAGGGGGCAAGCGUUAUCCGGAUUUACUGGGUGUAAAGGGAGUGUAGACGGUUUUGCAAGUCUGAAGUGAAAGCCCGGGGCUUAACCCCGGGACUGCUUUGGAAACUGUAGGACUAGAGUGCAGGAGAGGUAAGUGGAAUUCCUAGUGUAGCGGUGAAAUGCGUAGAUAUUAGGAGGAACACCAGUGGCGAAGGCGGCUUACUGGACUGUAACUGACGUUGAGGCUCGAAAGCGUGGGGGGCAAACAGGAUUAGAUACCCUGGUAGUCCACGCCGUAAACGAUGAUUACUAGGUGUUGGUGGGUAUGACCCAUCGGUGCCGCAGCAAACGCAAUAAGUAAUCCACCUGGGGAGUACGUUCGCAAGAAUGAAACUCAAA